GGUUUUGUAGUGUAGCGGUUAUCACUCCGGAUUCUGAUCCUCUCAUCAGAAUCUUCCGGCAACCCCGGUUCGAUUCCGGGCAAGACCU